GGCGGCGCGCGGCGGCGGGCACAGACCGGGGCAGGUUCGCGAGCGCCGCGCCGCCGCAUCAUCACUACCGGCAGCUUCGCGGGCGGGGCGCGUGGGAGCUCGGCCAGCACUUCGGACACUUCGCGCCCGCCUCCCAGUACAUGAUGGGCAUGGGGUGGGGCGGAGCGCGCAUGCAGCGCGGCCCGCGACACCGCGCCUUCAUGCGCUGACACCGCGCCUUCAUGCGCUGACACCGCGCCUUCAUGCGCUGACACCGCGCACCUCCUCGACGCGACCACAAACAUUUCAUGAAAUAAAUUUAAAUAUUCAUAGUGUU